CGGGGUUCGCGCAACCGCCGCCAACGGAUGAACUUUUUGGUGCUCCCCGCCCCCCUCUCCUUCCCCCGCCUUGACUGGGCGCCGCCUCCUCGAUCAACCGCCACCGGCCCUCUGGGAUCAGCUAGGGGCGGGGCUAGAAGCCGCAGGGAGUCCGCCCCGCCCUCUCCCUCGCGCCAGAGGGAGGCGGGGACAUGGAGGGGUGCAGCCCCGCCCCCUGGUGAAAAGAGCAAGCUGGGGGCGGGGUCGCCUCUGCUCCCCCAGCCCUCCCCCUCCAGCUGCCAAGUGACCAGCUCCCUCCUCAUGUCCCCGCUGCCGUGACCCCGUCCCCAAGCCCCUCUUCUCCUGCGGUGCUGUGUGUGAGGCACAACACCGCACCCACCGGCAGGGUGGUUGCCUUUCCUGGCCCGUUGCCCGCCCCUCAGGUUUCCCUAGUGUAGACAGGGCUGCAGCUGCCGCCUGUGUGGCCUUCAUAGACGGCUGGGAUUUGCAUGGGGCCAAAUAAGAGUAUUGCAUGGAACAAAAGAAAAAAAGAGAUCAGUGGACUACAUCCAUCGUGAUCAAAUUGGCCCUGUCAACACUGGUUCCCCACUAACUCCCUUCUCUUCACGUAUCAGUAUAUUUAUGCCUGCAUCUGUAACUUUCACUCCAUGCAUCUGAAGAGCAUAUACCGAACUCCCUGCGGGGCCUGGGUCAGAGCAGGGGCAGAGCGUGGACGGUGCUGUGGGUGGAAGAGGCAGGACAAGGAGCUCGCCUCAUCCAGAGGAAGUUUCACCCACUGCCCAUGGAGAUGAGCGACACCAGACAGGAGCACAUUACUCUGCAGCUGCAUAGCAGAGGGCAAGGGCUGAUGUUCUAAGCAUCUGAGUGCUCGCACCCAGGUUGAACCAGCCAAUUUUCUGAGCAGGUUGUUCUGAGUGCUGACUUUGGCUGUUAAUAAGAUUAUUUUACUGUUUUAUCUAAUCCAGUGUGUUUAAAUUGAAGUGUCUGAGAUAAUAAAAUGAGAUAAGAUUA